CUCACGAGCCCUGUGCAGCCACCCUCUUGCAUCUCGAGAUGUUCAAUAAUAUUUUUACUUCAUUAAAGUAUGAGUAUUUAUACCAUAGGAAAUUCUAUCCAACCAUUCCUUCCAGCAUCAAUCACUCCAUUUUUUUGGGAUCUAUAGCACGGCAAUCUCAAUCGUGAUUCUAGCAGAGGAAAGGACGACGCCCCCUUCACCGCGUGCUCGCCAGCGAGGGCUUGAUGGCGGUGGCCACCGACGACGAUGAAGAUGUUGAAGAGAUGCAGGGCUACCGGAUCGGAAGGAUUGGUAGUGCCUCAUGCAAGGAAGACAGACUAGUCCAGAUGGGAUCUGCAGUUGGAACACGGUCUUCUCUGGUGCAUUUGUGUUGUUCUUUGGUCUUUAGAGCAAAUCUUUAUUUUUUUUUGGCUGUAUUUGAUCUAUUUUUAGUUCUUGAAUUUUUAGCUCUCAAUUCGUCAGCACUCCUGAUGAUAUUUGGUUUGAUAGCUAGGUUAGUAGGUUGUGCACUUCUGCAAACAAUGCUGCAGUGUCCCUUCCUCCGGGGUGGGGAAGGUCACGAUCGACCGCGCUCGGCGGGCGGCAGCGACGGACUGCAGGCCCGGCGAGCCUCUCAGGUCGCCGUUGAUGGGGAUGGAGGCCUUCGACACAGCUGCAGCAUCCCCUUCGUCCAUGUUCGGCCGGCCGGCACUGUUCCCGUCCUCGGGGAAGCUCAUGGAGUCAUGGUGUCGCAAGUCGCAACUGCGUGCAGUGGCCCAUCGCCGUCGACCUUGAGACUAACAUUUGGCCUUCACUGAACUUCGCGCCGUCGUCGAUACCUCCUGCCAGGCUGCCUCAUGGCAGCGACAAGCAAGACAUCGGCAGGAGUCAAAAUGCUAGCAGUAGCUGCCGUUUAGUUUUUUUUAUGCAUUAUAUAGAUGGACCUACAGCUGCCCUGUAAAUUUGUUACUACUAGUAGCACAUUUAUGUUGUCAUAAAAAUUUACUGUACCUUUUUUUUACUAUAUACCAGCAGCGAUCUCGCUUGAUGCACA